UACCUGGUUGAUCCUGCCAAUAGUCAUAUGCUUGUCUCAAAGAUUAAGCCAUGCAUGUCUAAGUAUGAACUAAUUCAGACUGUGAAGCUACGGAUGGCUCAUUAAAUCGGUUAUAGUUUCUUUGAUGGUACCCAACUACUCGGAUAACUGUAUUAAUUCUAGAGUUAAUACGUGCACCAAGUCCCAACUCUUUGGAAGGGAUACAUUUAUUAGAUAAAAGGCUGGUGCGGGCUUGCCCGCUUCUCCAGUGAAUCAUGAUAACUCGAUGGAUCGCACAGCCCUUGUGUUGGCGAUGCUUCAUUCAAAUUUCUACCCUAUCAACUUUCGAUGGUAGGAUAGAGGCCUACCAUGGUGGUGACAGGUGAUGGAGAAUUAGGAUUUGAUUCCGAAGAGGGAGCCUAAGAAAUGGCUACCACAUCCAAGGAAGGCAGCAGGUGUGCAAAUUACCCAAUCCUAACAUGGGGAGGUAGUGACAAUAAAUAACAAUACUGGGCUCAUCGAGUCUGGUAAUUGGAAUGAAUACAAUCUAAAUCCCUUAAUGAGGAUCCAUUGGAGGGCAAGUCUGGUGCCAGCAGUCGUGGUAAUUCCAUCUCCAAUAGCGUAUAUUUAAGUUGUUGCAGUUAAAAAGCUCGUAGUUGGAUCUUGGGUCGUAAAGGUCAGUCUGCCUACUCGGUGUGCACCUACCCUUUCGUCCCUUUUGUCGGUGGCAUGCUCCUAGCCUUAAUUGGCUGGGUUGCGGUUCUGACAUUGUUACUUUGAAAAAAUUAGAGUGCUCAAAGCAAGCUUAUGCUCUGAAUACAUUAGCAUGGAAUAACGCGAUAGGAUUCUGGUCCUAUUAUGUUGGCCUACGGGACCGAAGUAAUGAUUAAUAGGGACUGUCGGGGGCAUUCGUAUUUCAUUUUCAGAGGUGAAAUUCUUGGAUUUAUGAAAGAUGAACCACUGUGAAAGCAUUUUCCAAGGAUGUUUUCAUUAAUCAAGAACAAAAGUUGGGAGCUCAAAGACGAUCAGAUACUGUCCUAGUCUCAACCAUAAACGAUGCCGACCAGGGAUCGGCGGAUGUUUCUCUAAGGACUCUACCAGCACCUUCUGAGAAAUUAGAGUGUUUGGGUUCCGGGGGGAGUAUGGUCGCAAGGCUGAAACUUAAAGGAAUUGAUAGAAGGGCACCACCAGGAGUGGAGCCUGCAACUUAAUUUGACUCAACACGGGAAAACUUACCAGGUCCAGACAUAGUAAGGAUUGACAGAUUGAGAGCUCUUUCUUGAUUCUAUGGGUGGUGGUGCAUGGUCGUUCUUAGUUGGUGGAGCGAUUUGUCUGGUUAAUUCUGAUAACGAACGAGACCUCAGCCUACUAACUAGCUACAUGGAGGUUCCCCUUCGCAGCCAGCUACUUAGAGGGACUAUGGCCAUUUCGGCCAUGGAAGUUUGAGGCAAUAACAGGUCUCUGAUGCCCUUAUAUGUUCUGCGCCACACGCGCGCUACACUGAUGCAGUCAACGAGUUUUUCUCCCUAGUUCAAGAGGAUCGGGAAACUUCUCAAAUUGCAUCGUGAUGGGGAUAGACCGUUGCAAUUAUUGGUCUUCAACAAGGAAUUCCUAGUAACCACGUGUCAUCAGCUCAUGUUGACUACGUCCCUACCCUUUGUACACACCACCCGUCACUCCUACUGAUUGAAUGAUCCGGUGAAGUGUUCAUAUCGUGUCAACGAGGGUGGUUCACCGUCGACGAUGUCAUGAGAAGUUCACUGAACCUUAUCAUUUAGAGGAAGGAGAAGUCGUAACAAGGUUAUCGUAGGUGAACCUGCGGUAGGAUCAUUG
rfam:Picea glauca, whole genome shotgun sequence.